AUCGCUUCUCGGCCUUUUGGUUAAGAUCAAAGUGUAGUAACUGGUAGUAUAGUUCAACCCCAGAAACACGCCUAUGAGGUUUUUUUGCGAAUUUUUUUUUUUAAAUUCGGAAUUUUUUGAAAAAUUUUUUGGAUUUUGUUUGGUUCUAAAAAUUUAAGCAAAAAAUCA